ACGCUCGACAUCUACGGGAGCAGCAGUGGGGAAUAUUGCACAAUGGGGGAAACCCUGAUGCAGCGACGCCGCGUGGAGGAAGAAGGUCUUCGGAUUGUAAACUCCUGUUGUUGGGGAAAAAGAGGAUGGUACCCAACAAGGAAGUGACGGCUAACUACGUGCCCGCAGCCGCGGUAAUCUGAGCGGGCUGGCAAGGC
rnacentral:rRNA from 1 species